ACUCAAUGGAUAAACCAUUCAUCACCACCAUCAUCACCAUCAUUGUCACAAUGCUGCAAGCUGAGAUUAUGUACAAUGUUCACAAUCUGAUAUCUGUUGCCUCUGCGAAUCCAGUGAAUCCCUUGUGGUUGGGCCAGAAUUCAAGCUUCUGCAUUAAAACAAUGUGGAUGAUCAUCUGCGAUUACAAGUGGAGAGAAGAGUAGAUGAAACGGGUUUCUGAAGUCUACACAAACCUCUGUCUCGCUACCUUGAGAGAUCCCAUAGCCAAGCUGCUUUCUUUGAAACAUCAAGGUCGACUCAUUGCGAAUACUCGGACAUCAGCUUGAGAAACGAGGCAGCGAAAUGUGUUUCUCACAGCACUGUGACUAAUUCCUCCAACUUUCUUUUUAAGGACACUAAGCGAUGCACCAAAAGAAGGCAUAUUUUUUUCUGGUUGUCUUUUUCAAGUGUAGCCCUAAUAGCACCACAUGCGAACGACAUAAUUGGUUUGUAAUCGUCUGAAUCAAGUGGUUUCAGAGUGGGGACAUUAGUGUUAGAACUGCUGGUGCUAGUGGUGUACUUGGUAGGAUCCUUUUCUCUAAGUGCUUGAGCAAUGUCAUUAACCCUGGGAACAACUGUAUUUUCUUUAGGGAUUAUCCUCAUUGCAUUAACAAAUUUUCGCAUGCCUUAUUCGGCAAGAAAGGCUUUGCUAUUUAAGCCAAAAUCGCAAGUUUUACCUAUUCGGCACGACACACA